rnacentral:rRNA from 1 species
AUACGGAGGGUCCGAGCGUUAUCCGGAUUCAUUGGGUUUAAAGGGUCCGCAGGCGGGAAAAUAAGUCAGUGGUGAAAGCCUACAGCUCAACUGUAGAACUGCCAUUGAUACUGUUUUUCUUGAGUAUAGAUGAAGUGGGCGGAAUAUAUCAUGUAGCGGUGAAAUGCAUAGAUAUGAUAUAGAACACCGAUUGCGAAGGCAGCUCACUAAACUAUUACUGACGCUCAGGGACGAAAGCGUGGGGAGCGAACAGGAUUAGAAACCCUAGUAGUCC